UUCUAAUGUUCUAAUGAGCUUCUAGUAUUAAUACAGAACUAGUCAACGUCUCACACCAAAUAUUAAUAUUUGUUUCAUUCUACUGAGACUUUGUUCAGCUUUUACAUUCUGGUUUAUUCCAGCUGGAUCAUUUAAAACUCUUUAUUUAUUAUUCCUCUUGUUCUUCCUGUUCUCUGGUUUUAUUUAUUGUUUUAUUAAAGCAAUGAAACUAUUCAUUUUGGUGUUUAUUCCUGUUUUAUGUAUUUUAUUGUUUAUGUGCAGCACUUUGUUGUUUUAAAGUGUUUUAACAAAGCAGCAGGUAGUCUCCAGGUAGCUCUAAGCCCCGCCCCCUCCGCUGGGACCCCGCCCCUCCCUCACCUGACUGACUCACCUUACAGCAGCUGUAAGCGGACUCCAGCGGGACUAGAGGGACCAGGAGCAGCAUGGAGCCGGUCUACCGGGAUCAGGACCCGGUCUACCGGGGGGGUCUGGGCCGCUGCGCGCUGUGCUUCUGGCUGGCGGUGGUCUUUGACCUGGUGGGUCUGCUGGUCCUGCUGGUCGGGGUCUUCGUCAACGUCUUCUUCUACGACCUGCUGGUCUACGCCGGGGCCAUCGUGGUCUUCCUCAGCCUCAUCUGGUGGGUCUUCUGGUACUCCGGGAACAUCGAGGUCCCCCCCGCCGAGCUGGAGGACGACGUGGGGCUGCUGAAGAGGGACCGGGCCGGGCUGGGGGCUCUGGGGGGUCUGGUGAGGCGGAUCUCCAGCCGGGUCUCCAGCGGCAUCAGGACCUCGUUCCGGAGGACCGGAGGGGGUCCGACCGGGGGCCAGAGACCCGCCGGGGGGCCUCCGGGGACCCCGCAGCAGCAGGUGGCCGUCGCCAUGGCAACGGUGACCCCCCAGGAGGACGUCAGGGUCUCCUGUGACGUAGAAAUGCCGCACACAACAACAGAGACCUCACCUGCGUAGUGACGCGACAGUGUGACGUGGUUCUAAAGCAGAACUAAAGAACGUUUGUGUCUGUGGCAGUAGAACGUGUUAUCUCUGGAUGAAUUAUUAACCAGCUGCUCACUGACACACUCAGUGGCUGAGAUCCUCCUCCAGCGCCUCCUGAUGACUCUUUUAUCAACUUUUUUUACUCUGUGUGUUAAAUGACUAAUUAUGAAUAAUUGAUGACGAUAAAUGUGUCGAGUCUUUAUGAAAUACUGUUUUUUCGUGUAUAUUUUCCCAAUAAAAGUGAUGUUUUUAAUCAGUUUGGUAUCAUUGGUUUGACAUCAGUAGAAACAUUAUUAACUCCAAAACUCCAAACACUGAAAUCUCAAGUUGUAACAGUAACUGAAACAUAUUUUAUUAUAUAACUGUUAGUAGAAGAACUCUAAAGAGAGACGACCUGACAACAUGUUCAUCACUACACAAAACCUUUAUGGAGCAGAAAUCAGAUCCCUCUCUCCUAUUAUUAUUAUUAUUAUUAUUCUCUCCUAACACUCACUGGACUCACCCUCAGGGACAAAUAAAGGACUUUUGAAUUUUAAUUGAAUUGAAUAGAAAAAAAUAUGUAAAAUUACCCCCAAAAUAUGUAAAUUACCCCCAAAAUAUGUAAAUUACCCAAAAAAAAUAUGUAAAAUUACCCAAAAAAUAUUGUCUUAAAUAUGACCAAAAUACGAUGUAAAAAUUACCAAUUUUUUUUUAAACAUCACCCCCCAAAUUUUUUUAAAUUACCACAAAAAAAAGUAAAAUUACCCCCCCAAAAAAUCUAAA